rnacentral:rRNA from 1 species
ACGGGUGCGUAACACGUGGGUAAACUGCCCUUUGGUGGGGAAUAACCUCGCGAAAGCGAGGCUAAUUCCGCAUAAGAUCCGCAAGGAUGAAAGCCGCAAGGCGCCGAACGAGGGGCCCGUGCACGAU